rnacentral:rRNA from 1 species
GAGUUUGAUCGUGGCUCAGAUUGAACGCUGGCGGCAGGCCUAACACAUGCAAGUCGAGCGGAUGAAGGGAGCUUGCUCCUGGAUUCAGCGGCGGACGGGUGAGUAAUGCCUAGGAAUCUGCCUGGUAGUGGGGGAUAACGUCCGGAAACGGGCGCUAAUACCGCAUACGUCCUGAGGGAGAAAGUGGGGGAUCUUCGGACCUCACGCUAUCAGACGAGCCUAGGUCGGAUUAGCUAGUUGGUGGGGUAAAGGCCUACCAAGGCGACGAUCCGUAACUGGUCUGAGAGGAUGAUCAGUCACACUGGAACUGAGACACGGUCCAGACUCCUACGGGAGGCAGCAGUGGGGAAUAUUGGACAAUGGGCGAAAGCCUGAUCCAGCCAUGCCGCGUGUGUGAAGAAGGUCUUCGGAUUGUAAAGCACUUUAAGUUGGGAGGAAGGGCAGUAAGUUAAUACCUUGCUGUUUUGACGUUACCAACAGAAUAAGCACCGGCUAACUUCGUGCCAGCAGCCGCAGU